rnacentral:lncRNA from 1 species
UCAUAAGCAUGUAACAAUGGUUACAUAUAUGUAACCUUAGUUAGCCCAUCAUUAACUAAGGUUACCCUUUUAGGUAUCUACACAUUAGUCCUACACUUUAUAUGACAAAAAAGGGUAUCUACACAUUAGUCCUACACUUUAUAUGACAAUAUGUUGGCCCCCUUAACAUAAUGUCCAUAAGACCACUUAUUUAGGCCAAACCAAAAGAUAGCACAU